GGCCUCGUGGCUCAGUUGGUUAGAGCGCCGCCCUGUCACGGCGGAGGUCGUCGGUUCGAGUCCGAUCGGGGUCGC
rnacentral:tRNA from 1 species